ACACGGAAAUGUAUUUUCCUGGCUGCAGCACCUGCCAUCUUGCCUCGGUAGGACUCAUUUUCAAAAACAGCAGCUUCUUGAAGCCCCAGAACGCAUUCCUGUGCUACGGAAGACGGAAGAGUAGCUCUCGGGGUCAGAAGGCGAAGGUCAGAAGGCCGAAUUGGCGGGAGAAUAGGUUUGGUGGUCCGAGAUCCGAGGCAACGGUGGCUCCUCGAGGUCCACGGUCCCGGGAUCCCAAGUAUCCUGUAGAGAACUUGCUAAACCCAGAUAGUCCAAGGAGACCUUGGCUCGGCUGCCCUCAGGACAAGAGUGGGCAAUUGAAAGUAGAACUACAGCUGGAGAGGGCAGUGCCCACUGGCUACAUUGAUGUGGGUAACUGUGGCUGUGCGUUCCUGCAAAUUGAUGUGGGCCAUUCUUCCUGGCCCCUGGACAGACCUUUCAUAACCCUGCUCCCUGCAACCACGCUAAUGUCUCUAACUGAUUCAAAGCAGGGGAAGAACCGCUCCGGGGUCCGCAUGUUUAAAGAUGUUGAUUUCCUGGCUCCAGCCUCAGGAGAGUUAUGGGAUCGACUUCGCCUGACCUGCUCCCGACCCUUCACGCGUCAUCAGUCCUUUGGCCUGGCCUUUCUACGGGUGUGUUCUUCUCUGGACUCCUUAGAUGACUCUGUGGUGGGUCCCUCAGCCCUUCUGAGCUCUGUGCUGAACAAGGGGAAGCCAAUCAGAGGAUGCAUUUUCCCAGAGAAGGAGCAUCUGAAGAGUUUAAGACCUUGGGGAAAGAGAGUCUUGCUGCUUGCUUGUGAGACUUGCCUUGGAAGGUAGAUAAGUUCACUGCAUCCUCCAGCUUUUUAUUUCUGGUGAGUUCUCCAAGCACUGAGAUGUGAACUGGCCUCAUUCCCUUACAAUGAUACUGUUACCAGUAGAAGAGAUUCCAGUUACUGGCAGCAUAUCUGCAUGGGUCCAUAAGCAACUUCAGUCCUUGCCUCCUCAGAAGAAAGAAUUCGACUGAAGGGCAUACAGCGGAAAAAGAGACUGAGCAAUUUUCUCAAGCAAUUUUUAAAUUUCAUUCAUUUACCUUAUUGAGCUUUUCUUAGUGCCUAAAGUGUCUGCAAGUGGAAAUCCAGAGGAAGACAGAGAGAAACUGAGUUCCUGACAAUGCAUUCACUAAAGAAAGUGACUUUUGAAGAUGUAGCUAUUGACUUCACCCAGGAAGAGUGGGCCAUGAUGGACACAUCCAAGAGAAAGCUGUACAGAGAUGUGAUGCUGGAAAAUAUCAGUCACCUGGUGUCCCUCGGGUACCAGAUAAGCAAAUCCUAUAUAAUUUUGCAGCUGGAGCAAGGAAAAGAGCUGUGGCAGGAAGGAAGAGAAUUUCUUCAAGACCAGAAUCCAGACAGGGAAAGUGCCCUUAAGAAAACACACAUGAUAUCCAUGCAUCCUAUCAUCAGAAAAGAUGCACCCACCAGUAUGACAAUGGAAAUCCCACUUCCAACUGGAUGUCUGGAUGAACUACUGAAAGCUGCUGAGUGUCCUGCAGCAGGUGAGCUGUGGCCAGAGCCCAAGGAUGAAGGGGGCUCCCUCACUCUGUUACUGUGAAGAGGAAGCCUGAGGUGUAGCAGGCCCAGGCCCCAGAAGUAUGGAAAAAAAUGAGGUAGGGAGGGAGGGGACCUCAGGAGAAGACUGAGGUCUACAGAAUCCCAGGGUCAAGGGGAUGGUGCAGUGUUCUGGCACUAUCCUUGAUGUUCCAAGAGGGGUGAGAAUCCAUCUCCUGAGUAAAAACUUCACAUGGGGUGAGGAGGGGAGAAGAGAACAGAAAGGAAGCAGGGAAGGCCAAGACAGCCACCAGCCUUACAGCAAUUUUAACCAGAAAUGGACACAGACCCUGGACCCCAUCACAGGAGUGCAGGCCUAGGACUGUCUCCAGGUGAUGCAUAGCUCCCUUGUCAGGUUAGUGGGUUCAGGGAUUGUGACGUCUGCAGGGGUGUGGAAGGCUGGGCAAUGGGAGCAGCUUACUGGGCUGGACCAGAAAUACUGAACUUCUUUUCCAUCAGUGAAAUCCACUUCUGGGUCAGAAAAAACUGUGAGUUCUAGAGGGGCAGGGCCUAGGAGGAGGUCAGGUCCUGAGCCUUCCUGGUUUGACCCCCUCCCACCCCCUGUGUUUCUGGGUCUGUCCUCACUUCCACCCAGCGGAUCCUGAGUCUCUUCCUUUGAGUCCCUGUGAGUGUGUUGUGUGCAGUGGGGCCGGGCUGCUUCAUCCACUGCACGUUAAAUGUUUCCAACACUUUCCGGCCAAAGCUUAGAGUUGUCAGACCACCGACUUUGAAUGUUGACCUGGUUCCUUGUGGAACAGAGUAAUAGCUAUUGAAGUUUAAAGUCACUUUCCUGCGUGGAUGGUGAAGAGGCAGGCUGUUCAGGCAUAACUGCCCUCAGGCCUGGAGGGCUGUGGAGGUCACCGUUGGCGGUGGGUGGAUCUGGAACCUCUGUGGCUCUAGACUUUCAACUAUUUCAUUUUUUCUUUUGUAGUUUUUGUUUGUUGCUUGCUUUUUUACAAUGGGAACUAGAAUGUAAGAUGCCAAACUCAGCCUGUGGGGAACAUGGAUUUUCACAACAGCAACCACAGAGCGUGGUUUCCAUUUCUAUUCCCUGUUCAUGUGGGAGGCAGAGAAGGAAAUCAGGUGCUCAGUUCCAGGGACAUCACAGGACUAGGACAUGUGCAGUGAGGGUGGAAGGCAGAGGCAUUGCUUUAGGAGAAUAAAAUUACUGCAUGCACACACAUAUGUAUGUAUAUGGAUGUAUGUACACAAACAUGCAUAUUUAUAGAUUCUGUUCUCUCUCUCUAUAUACAAUUUUCUUUAUUUCACACUUGAUAUGAUUUCUAAAUUUAAAUACCUUUGAGACAAACGUGAAUUGUGAUGGGAUUUAAAAAUGUCAGUGAAAAAUGGAAUUAACAAUAAAAAUAUAAAUAUAAACUUUAUUUCUCAAUUUAAGCUCUACUGAGGUCCAGACACUCCAUUAAGCGAUGAUCCCAGCCAUUCAUUCCAUUGCUAAAGAACUGAGGGUAAUGGGAAUUUAACCGUGUCAAUGCAGUCUUCUAUUAUUAACUAAAGAAAAAUGGGUGCCCUUUACAGUUAUUUUAAGAUUAGGGAAAAAAUGUCAGAAGAAACCAAAUCAGGACUGUAAUGUUGAUGCCUAAUAAUUUCCCAUGAAAACUCUUGCAAAAUUACCCAUGUUUGAUGAGAGGAAGGAACAGAAGUGUUGUUGUGGUGCAGAGGGACUCUCUAGUGAAGCUUUACAGGGCGCUUUUCUGCAAAAGUAUUUGCUAAUUUUCUCUAAGAACUCUCCUAGUAAGCAGAUGUUAUGGUGCUUUGAUCUUACAGAAAGUCAACCAGCAAAAUGCCUUGAGCAUCCCCAAAACCUCCAUGGCUUUUGCUUUUGAGAAGUUUGCUUUUGCUUUGACUGGACCACUUCUACCUCUUGGUAGCCAUUGCUUGAAUUGUGCUUUGUCUUCAGGAUCUUAUUGAUAAAGCCAGUUUCACUCCCUGUUAUAAUUCUUCAAAAUAAUGCUUCAGGAUCUGAUUCCGCUUGCUCAAAAUAGUUACUAAUAGCUCUGCUUUUGUCCACUGCUGAUCUAGGCACAAGGGUAUUUGGGACUCAUCAAAUGUAAAAUUUCUCAACUUUCACGUUAUAGUCAGUAUUGUGUAAGCUGAACCAAUUGAGAUGCCUGUGGUGUUGGCUAUAGUAUCUCUUGCUAAUUGUCAAUCCUCCUCAAUUAGGGCAUAGAAACGAUUUUUUUUCUCAAAAAUUGGUAUGGAUGUCCCUCCUCUGUUGACUUCAUCUUCAACAUUGUAUUAUCUCUUCUUAGAAUAAGGUAUCCAUUUGUAAAUGACUGAUUCUUCAGGUUAUUUUUCCCGUACACUUUUCAUAAAGAAUAAUUUAUUUCACCAUUUUUUGUACCCCAGCUUCACCGUAAAUUUGAUGUUUGUUCUUGCUUCAGGUUUGACAGAAUUCAUGUUGCUGCCAUAGAGGGGCUCUUUUCAAACUGAUGUCUUAAAUCUUGUUCAGAUAUGUUAAAACAGGGCCAGGCACGGUGGCUUACGCCUGUAAUCCCUGCAUUUUGGAAUUUUAGACAAAAUAAAGUUUUUUAAAAUUUUA